rnacentral:rRNA from 1 species
AUGGGCGCAGCCUGAUGCAGCGACGCCGCGUGAGGGAUGACGGCCUUCGGGUUGUAAACCUCUGUUAGCAUCGAAGAAGCGAAAGUGACGGUAGGUGCAGAGAAAGCGCCGGCUAACUACGUGCCAGCAGCCGCGGUAAUACGUAGGGCGCGAGCGUUGUCCGGAAUUAUUGGGCGUAAAGAGCUUGUAGGCGGUUGGUCGCGUCUGCUGUGAAAGGCUGGGGCUUAACCCUGGUUUUGCAGUGGGUACGGGCUAACUAGAGUGCAGUAGGGGAGACUGGAAUUCCUGGUGUAGCGGUGGAAUGCGCAGAUAUCAGGAGGAACACCGAUGGCGAAGGCAGGUCUCUGGGCUGUAACUGACGCUGAGAAGCGAAAGCAUGGGGAGCGAACAGGAUUAGAUACCCUGGUAGUCCAUGCCGUAAACGUUGGGCACUAGGUGUGGGGGACAUUCCACGUUUUCCGCGCCGUAGCUAACGCAUUAAGUGCCCCGCCUGGGGAGUACGGCCGCAAGGCUAAAACUCAAAGAAAUUGACGGGGGCCCGCACAAGCGGCGGAGCAUGCGGAUUAAUUCGAUGCAACGCGAAGAACCUUACCAGGCUUGACA